GGUAUUUGUCAGCAAGCGUCUAGGACAUUGAAGAAGACAGAUGCACUUGCUGUGCCAUUACUCAAAACACUUUCCCUUCCCAUGCCUUUUUUCCUUCUGGUCAUCUUGAAGGCUGAACCAUGCAGGGAUAGGAUAGAGUAUCUCAGGAGGCAGCCUUGAGCAUUUUGGAAUACCCCUACCCUAUGCCAACACUCAGAUCACUUUUUUUCUCAGGGAACAAUUGAACACCCCAUGUCAGAUGCAAGGCCCCUGAUUCUGGCCUGCAGCCCCGGCUUGAGAAAGUGACAAUGUUUACCUCUAGACCACUGUUGUCCUAGGCCACCUCCCCUCCAAGCUGCAUCCCUCAGCUCUGUCCACAUUUCUGUUAGGGUGGACUGCUGAUGUCAUGGGAAUCCUGACCCUCUUGGCUUUACCGUGAAUGGCUAAGAAUGGCACUGGGGCUGCGAACUUAGGAAGAGGCUCUCACAGCAAAUCCUCCCUAGAACAAAGCCAGAACCUCGUGUUUUUUCUUUCUCUCUCUCUCUUUUUUUUUUUUUUUUUGAAUCGGAUCCUGUGAUCCUAUGAGAGUGCUUGCUGAGUAUCUGAGGUGAAGACCCUAGAGAGGAAAUUGUUAUUGAAGACUGUUAUUCUCCGAUUCAAGUGUCUAUUUCCGGUGGCCACUGGUUUAGAAAUCCACCCUCCCCUGCCUGCUGCCGCUGGCCUUUUCCUUCAUAGAAAACGGCUCUGUGCUGCUGUGGGUUGAGGACAAAGGAAACUGCAGCCUUUGGGAAGGAAGCCUCGGGCUCCUAAGUGUGCAGAGGACACUCUAUGCCUCCUUGGAGCCUCUGGAGAUGAGCUGAAAAGGGCAGAGGAGGGACCCUGCCGGGUGAAGGAGACUCCAGACCAGCUGUGUUCACCUCCUCCUUCAGUCUGGGGAUGCGAAUUAUCUGGCUUGCAAGCUGGGAGUCCAAGGGAGACAGAUGAGGAUGCAGUGAAGUGGAAGUUGAAAGCCUUGGAUUUGGUCUCAGCCCUGACACUGCAGAGGCCAUUGUGUCCCUUGCCUGGGCCCUGGAUUGCUCAGCUGCAAAACAACAGACUGAGAGAUGAAAACAAAUGUCUGCAGAGGAACAGGAAGGGUGGAAAGUCCCCGAGGCUGGUCCAGGAGAGAAACACACACAAACACAGGAAUAACUGUCGUAUUCCCAAGCAGGCCAGAGCAAGAAUGGCUUUGUGGAGGGUGGCUGAGGCCAGCUGUGCUGCUGGUGGAUCAACGUCAUGGUGCUGAAGCUUAGAAAGCAGAAUCCAUGGCGUUCCCACUCCAAGCCCCUCACUCUGCAGAUGAGGAAACUGAGCCUCCCCAAAGCCCACACCAAGUUCAACUAUUAAUGUGCAAGAGACCAUUCUCUGUGUACCAGUGUCUGUCUGGGUCCCAGUGCAGAGCACAGUUCACCCCCUCUAACACUGGCUGUUAUUGACCAGACGGACUCAAAGUCCAAUGUCAUGGUGGGGAGUUAAGUGGUCACAUGUGCCUGGAGAGAACCGUGGUCUAGAUUCUCUUUUCUGGACUGUGGUUCGGGCUCUAACCUAGAGAGCAGACAUGAUGGUCUGGACUUCUUCCAAUCUAGUGACCACCAAGUAGGGGGGAAGACCACUGUGGGGGGUCCAGUUCCUUGAGGUAGAGAGAGUCCCGCUAACCUCAGAGUCUUGAGGUGGUUGGCUUUGGCAGAAGCACGGUGUUCAUCCAGCCCUUGACCAAGCGUUACUGAACCUUAAUCUCGGCCUAGAGGGGACUUGGGAGUCUGUGUACCCUAAGGUGAGAAAGCAUCUAUGGGUGAGCCAAUGACAGCUGGGUAGGGGGAGAGGGCCUGUCCCAAAGCCCAUGUCCAGAGAUGAGAGCCUAGCUUGUGGGACUCCGUCUCAGGCAGGUGGGAUACCCACAAGGCCUUGUUGGUACCAGGUGCUUAGUAGUUCACUUUGAUUCCUCUGAGGAUAGAGACACAAACCAGGAGAUAGUGCUUCAUGAAGUGGCCAGCAGUGGGUGACCUGACGCUUGGUCUAAGUGAUGCUUGCUCUUCUAUUGGGCUUAUUUAGGAGAGAAACUGCAAAGAGAGCUAAUGAGAAAAAACAAACAAACAAACAAACCAACAACAACAAAAGAAAAAAACCCACAGAGGACCGAGAGAGCCUCCAUUUGGUAGAAAAGUAAACCAAGAGGAGUCCAGAGAAAGGAAAGGGAGAAGGGGAG
ensembl:lncRNA